GCUGGGAGUGGUGGUGCACACCUGUAAUCCCAGCAGAUUAGGAGGCUGAGGCAGGAGGACUGUGAAUUCAAAGCCAGCCUCAGCAAUUUAGUGAGGACCUAAGCAACUCAUCAAGACCCUGUCUCUA
rnacentral:sRNA from 1 species